rnacentral:rRNA from 1 species
UACGGAGGGGGCUAGCGUUGUUCGGAAUUACUGGGCGUAAAGCGCACGUAGGCGGCUUUGUAAGUUAGAGGUGAAAGCCCGGAGCUCAACUCCGGAAUUGCCAUUGAAACUGUAGAACUUGAGUACGAGAGAGGUGAGUGGAAUUCCCAGUGUAGAGGUGAAAUUCGUAGAUAUUAGGAAGAACACCAGUGGCGAAGGCGGCUCACUGGUCCGGUACUGACGCUGAGGUGCGAAAGCGUGGGGAGCAAACAGG